UGACCAGCACUAUACCCCACUGUACACCACUGGCACUGACAAACACUGUACACCACUGUAACCCACUGUACCAAUCUUUUGAUAAGUUAUUAUGUUUAAACAAUGAAUAGAAUAUUUAAUUCCUUUAAAAUGCGUAUUUGAGACCAAAAUCUUGAUUUUAUUUAUUCUCUCCUAAUGCUUACAAGAGAGAGAGAGAGAGAGAGAGAGAGAGAGAGAGAGAUUCUUAGCAUAUAGUGAGUUUACAGCGUAUAAUGCAUAAUAUUAUUUGCACGUUUUAUCUAUCAACUGCUUUCCUAUGAUUGUAUAACAGGCUAGUGGCAGGGUGGGAAGGGGGAGGGAGGGGGUGCUCUCCCAUUUUCUCACGCAGUAAAUAUUUAUUUCCAAAUUUACAAAUUGUAAAUUUAAUUUUAAAGAUGCCCCCAAUACUCUGGGAGCAUGUAGAAAAUUGUAGUGAAAUUGAUGGAACUAAAAUUACCUGAAUCCAGACUUUUUUUCUGGAGAUUUCUUUGUUUUUAGCGGGUGGGGUUGAAGGGGCCUGACACCUAUUUUUGAUAAUUUCCCUUUAUGUGAAAUCAAUACAUUUGAAUUUCCAGGGGAGGGUCCGGACCAUCCCACUCUAGAUACGCGAAUGCAUCAAUGUAUUUAAAGUUUUAUGAACCAACUAGUAUUGCAGCCACCAACAACCACCCCCCCCCCUUCCCCGGUGAUUCGGAUUUUGUUGAUUAGUGAUUUUUUAAAAUUUAUUUUAAUGUUUAUUUGCUUGUCAAAUAAUUUGCCUCUUC
rnacentral:sRNA from 1 species